rnacentral:sRNA from 1 species
AAAAAUUUAUUUGUUAAAAUGGCUGCAAAAAUAUAUAUGUAAAUA